rfam:Pseudomonas fulva 12-X, complete genome.
GCCACAGGUGGUGCGGCACGUGAGUGCAGCACCGAUGCGCAAUACCUAAACGAAGACGGUAGACAAG